GAUGAAGAACGUAGCGAAAUGCGAUAAGUAGUGUGAAUUGCAGAAUUCAGUGAAUCAUCGAAUCUUUGAACGCACAUUGCGCCCCUUGGUAUUCCAUGGGGCAUGCCUGUUCGAGCGUCAUUUGUACCUUCAAGCCUUGCUUGGUGUUGGGUGUUUGUCUCGCCUCUGCGCGCAGACUCGCCUCAAAACAAUUGGCAGCCGGCGUAUUGAUUUCGGAGCGCAGUACAUCUCGCGCUUUGCACUCAGAACGACGACGUCCAAAAGUACAUUUUUUACACUCUUGACCUCGGAUCAGGUAGGGAUACCCGCUGAACUUAAGCAUAUCAAUAAGCGGAGGA
rnacentral:misc_RNA from 1 species